rnacentral:rRNA from 1 species
UACAGAGGUCUCAAGCGUUGUUCGGAUUCAUUGGGCGUAAAGGGCGCGUAGGCUGCGGGGCAAGUCGGGUGUGAAAUCUCAGAGCUCAACUCUGAAACUGCACUCGAUACUGCUUUGCUUGAGGACUGGAGAGGAGAUUGGAAUUCACGGUGUAGCAGUGAAAAUGCGUAGAUAUCGUGAGGAAGACCAGUGGCGAAGGCGGAUCUCUGGACAGUUCCUGACGCUGAGGCGCGAAGGCCAGGGGGAGCAAACGGG